GAUGAACGCUGACAGAAUGCUUAACACAUGCAAGUCGAUGGGGAAGUCGUUCUUUCACCAUGGCAACCGUGGCGGACGGGUGAGUAACGCGUAAGGGACUUACCUGCAGGACUGGGAUAACAGGGGGAAACUCCUGACAAGACCGGAUAAUGUCAUGGAGCUGCAUGGCUGUGUGAUGAAAGGGGACGCCUGCGGAGAGCCUUGCGUCCUAUUAGCUAGUUGGUGAGGUAAUGGCUCAACACGGCGAAGAUAGGUAGCCGGCCUGAGGGGGUGGACGGCCACAAGGGGACUGAGAUACGGCACUUACUCAUACGAGAGACAGCAGUGGAGAAUAUUGGACAAUGGGGGCGACCGUGAUCGAGCAGUUCUGUGUGGAAGAAGAAGGUUUUGGGAGUGUAAAGUGCUUUCAGCAGGGAAGGAGUAAGUGACGGUACCUGCAGAAGAAGCGACGGCUAAAUACGUG
rnacentral:rRNA from 1 species